rnacentral:rRNA from 1 species
CCCUGCCAUUUGUACACACCGCCCGUCGCUCCUACCAAUUUCGAGUGGUUCGGUGAACCUCUUUGGACUGUCGAGCAAUCGCGAAAUUAGAGUGAACCUGAUCACUUAGAGGAAGGAGAAGUCGUAACAAGGUUUCCGUAGGUGAACCUGCAGAA